GACGAACCUUGCUAACGUUAUUCGGAAUUACUGGGCUUAAAGAGUGCGUAGGCGGUUUUCUAAGUUUGGUGUGAAAUCUCCCGGCUUAACUGGGAGGGUGCGCCGAAGACUGGAAGGCUUGAGUAUGGGAGAGGUAAGCGGAAUUCCUGGUGUAGCGGUGAAAUGCGUAGAUAUCAGGAGGAACACCUGCGGUGUAGACGGCUUACUGGACCAUAACUGACGCUGAGGCACGAAAGCGUGGGUAGCAAACAGG
rnacentral:rRNA from 1 species